UUGUCCAAAAGAUUGUUCUCCUACAUAACCAAAUCAAUAUCAAAAAUUAUCUAAGGUAUUCGACAACUCAGAAUCCUCUACUGAUCCUUUAAAGGUCCACCAUCACGUAGCAACCCAACAAUAUCCAACAACCCUCUCAACUAAUGAUUUUCCUGAAUCAAGCUGGAGAUGCCAACAUGAAGAGAAACUAAAGCGAGGAGAGAGAACAAAAGGAAAGAGGACGGGUGGCUCUCUCUCUCGGGUGUUCGACAGCAGGCAGUCGCCCAUGGUCGGCAAUGCCCCAUGGUCGAUAGCUGAUGGAAGUGCCGGCAACGCGCCACACCCGACGACGGCCAAUGGCGGUGCUGGCGGCAUGCCACGCUUAGUGACGGUCCACUGAACGGGAAAAAACCAACAAAAUAGGGGAGUCCUGUUUAACAUCAAUCCAACAGCUUGCCGGCCGGAGUCAAGGGGAACAGUGGCCCAAAGACCGGAAAAAGAAGGAGAGAUAGAUCACCUUGUCUCCGGCGAGCUCCUCCGGCCAGAUUGAUGGCGAAAACUCCGAGUUCCUCCCACAGAACACCUAGCGAUUUAUGCCUCUAAUGGAAGAGCUCCCAAGGUUGGUGCUAAAGAAGAGGGCAAGAGAGCCUUUAAUAGAUGAAUAUCGGCUCAAACAAGGUAAGCUUGCGAUCACCCCAGUCCCCUCUUCCGGUGGAAUUGGAGGGAAUUGGAACAGGGGAAGAGGAAGACUCCGAUCGGGAGUCUCCCUCCCCCUGUCACACGUGCCACGCAUGUGUU
rnacentral:lncRNA from 1 species